rnacentral:rRNA from 1 species
GAUGAACGCUGGCGGCGUGCUUAACACAUGCAAGUCGAACGGUGAACACGGAGCUUGCUCUGUGGGAUCAGUGGCGAACGGGUGAGUAACACGUGAGCAACCUGCCCCUGACUCUGGGAUAAGCGCUGGAAACGGCGUCUAAUACUGGAUAUGUGACGUGAUCGCAUGGUCUGCGUCUGGAAAGAAUUUCGGUUGGGGAUGGGCUCGCGGCCUAUCAGCUUGUUGGUGAGGUAAUGGCUCACCAAGGCGUCGACGGGUAGCCGGCCUGAGAGGGUGACCGGCCGCACUGGGACUGAGACACGGCCCAGACUCCUACGGGAGGCAGCAGUGGGGAAUAUUGCACAAUGGGCGCAAGCCUGAUGCAGCAACGCCGCGUGAGGGAUGACGGCCUUCGGGUUGUAAACCUCUUUUAGCAGGGAAGAAGCGAAAGUGACGGUACCUGCAGAAAAAGCGCCGGCUAACUACGUG